UUGAGGCAUCCCAUGGGGCAUCCCAAAUGGCCAGACAGAAAGUCCUACUUUCUGUUUUGAUCUCACGAUCUCAGGGGGGCAUCCCAUAGGGUGUCUCAAUUACUAUGAGGCAUCCCAGGUGGAUCAUCCCACAGCAUGCCAUGACCCAAAACACUAUGUGCCAGCUGCCAACAGAAGGGGAUGAUCCAGGUGGGUCAUCCCAUCAUGUUCUAACUCAAUUUUUCAUGUAUUUAAGGUUUGAAUCUUACCAAAACUCAUCCAAACACUCUCAAAUAAAUUCAAAUCAGUUUGGACACUCUCAAAAACUUUCAAAACUUCACCAACUUGCUGAAACUUCAACUUUUGGCAUAUUUGAUG
rnacentral:lncRNA from 1 species